CUCGCACUUGUCUUCUAUUCUUAGGUAUAGAUAGCUGACACACUGCUUCUUUUCUUUCAGGUCCCAUUAUUCUUUGACCUUCGGAAAUAUGGAAUCCUAAAUAUUUGACAGUUGACUGGCACAAUUGCGCUUCCUUGAUACCUUGUAUCCUGCUCUCCAUAGAAUGUGAAGCAAAUCAUAAGUUGCUUGUUGGCAUAUCUCUUCAGUAACAGCCGC